CUGACCCAACCUACAUCCUUUCCCUUUUCAAACUUCCCACUGUCUCCCAAAUGUGCUCUAUCACUUUGGCUCCUCAUCUAUUUCUGCGCAAACCAACUCUUUCACCUGACUUCUGGCAACUUCUCUAACUCUUCAGUCCCCUUCCAACCAGCCUCCCUUUCCCUACUAUCUGGUUACUACUAUCUAGCACCACUACCUCAAGAGAGAUUCAGGGGAAGUGGAAAAAAUGCAAGUUGCAUUUUCCCC